GGGAAUCUUCGGCAAUGGGGGCAACCCUGACCGAGCAACGCCGCGUGAGUGAAGAAGGUUUUCGGAUCGUAAAGCUCUGUUGUAAGUCAAGAACGGGUGUGAGAGUGGAAAGUUCACACUGUGACGGUAGCUUACCAGAAAGGGACGGCUAACUACGUGCCAGCAGCCGCGGUAAUACGUAGGUCCCGAGCGUUGUCCGGAUUUAUUGGGCGUAAAGCGAGCGCAGGCGGUUUGAUAAGUCUGAAGUUAAAGGCUGUGGCUCAACCAUAGUUCGCUUUGGAAACUGUCAAACUUGAGUGCAGAAGGGGAGAGUGGAAUUCCAUGUGUAGCGGUGAAAUGCGUAGAUAUAUGGAGGAACACCGGUGGCGAAAGCGGCUCUCUGGUCUGUAACUGACGCUGAGGCUCGAAAGCGUGGGGAGCGAACAGGAUUAGAUACCCUGGUAGUCCACGCCGUAAACGAUGAGUGCUAGGUGUUGGAUCCUUUCCGGGAUUCAGUGCCGCAGCUAACGCAUUAAGCACUCCGCCUGGGGAGUACGACCGCAAGGUUGAAACUCUAAAGUGAAUUGAC
rnacentral:rRNA from 1 species